rfam:Xanthomonas oryzae pv. oryzae KACC10331, complete genome.
GGCACACUUACUGCAUAUGCUAGUGCAGAGCCUCGAACAGCGUAUUGUUCGGGAGAGUCGGCACAGGCGCCGGCGUCAUCGCUUU